rfam:Larimichthys crocea isolate SSNF unplaced genomic scaffold scaffold469, whole genome shotgun sequence.
CCAAAGGUCCUUUUCAGGACCACACACUCCUUCAACUAAGAGCUA